rnacentral:lncRNA from 1 species
AACCACUGCAUCAGAUAUAGUGUCCAACCAAGUACAUCAAUACCUAUUCUAAAAACAUAAGCAAAUAGAACAUAAUUUAAAAAAAAUAAGUUUAGAAAACUGGGUUGCCCCCAGGUAGCGCUUGUUUAACGUCUCGAGCCUGGUCCAAACCUUUCUAGCGCCCAUCAGUAGGUGCAAAACUUACCGUCACCCAUCAGUAGGUGUACCUUCCUGUAUCCUUCAGUAGAUACUUAAUUCUUCUAGCAUCCCUCAAUAGUUGCUAUCCCAGUAGCAUUCAUCAGUAAACAUCGUUAGUGACAUCCAUCAGUAAAUGUCUAACCAUAUAGCAUCCAUCAAUAGAUGUUAAUAUUUCUUAUCUUCAUUGGCAUUCAUCAGUAGACACCAAAUCACCUAACAUCCAUCAGUAGAUGUUGUAGAAGCAUCCAUCAUUAGAUGUUAUCAUUACUGCCAUCAGAAGCAGCGCAUCACCCAAAAAAAAUAAAAUAAAAUAAAAUAAAAUAAAAUAAAAUCAAAUAAAACAAAAUAAAAUAAAAUAAAAUCAAAUCAAAUCAAAUCAAAUAAAAUCAAAUCAAAUUAAAUCAAAUAAAAUAAAAUAAAAUAAAAUAAAAUAAAAUCAAAUCAAAUCAAAUCAAAUCAAAUCAAAUUAAAUAAAAUAAAACAUAUAAAAUCAAAACAAAAUUAAAGAUAAAAAAUUCAGAAACUGGGUUGCCUCCCACCAAGCGCUCUUUUAACGUCAUUUGCUUGACCCAGUAAAGCCCAAACACCCAUCAGUAGGUGUUGAUAUUUUCUGUUGGCGUUCUUCCUUCCUCCAUGACACCAACAACAUCUCGAGACUUUUCUUGUCACCAACUCUAAGGAUCCUUCAUCUUCAGAAUUCUGUUUGCUUUGAUUGAUAAUCUUGCAACCCACAACCUAUUCUUGAAUUUCACUGAUAUGCCAGGUUUGGGUUUGUCACUUUUCACAUCAGGAUGUUGGUGAACCACUCCCCUUUCUU